UACGAACUGUGCGAACGUUAUUCGGAAUCACUGGGCUUAAAGGGUGCGUAGGCGGUUAUCUAAGUCAGGUGUGAAAUCUUCCGGCUCAACCGGAAAACUGCGCUUGAUACUGGAUGGCUAGAGUGAUGCAGGGGUAUGUGGAACUUCCGGUGGAGCGGUGAAAUGUGUAGAUAUCGGAAGGAACGCCAGCAGCGAAAGCGGCAUACUGGGCAUUUUCUGACGCUGAGGCACGAAAGCCAGGGGAGCGAACGGG
rnacentral:rRNA from 1 species